UUGUAAUGAGUGGAUGUAAUGGGUGUAGUGGAUGAGUGUUUGGUAAUGAGUGGAUGUAAUGAGUGUAGUGGGUGGAUGUAAUGGGUGUAGUGGAUGAGUGUUUGGUAAUGAGUGGAUGUAAUGGGUGUAGUGGAUGGAUGUUUGGAGAAUGGAUGUGUUGGGUGAAAUGAGUGGAUGUAGUGGUAGGUGAAUGUGUUGGGUGAAAUGAGUGGAUGUAGUGGUAGGUGAAUGUGUGUGUUGGGUGAAAUGAGUGUGCUAAAAUGGUUAUUUAUAGGGAGAGGAUGAUGCACAAACUUCAAAUUUCAUCAAUUCCUUUUGCUCCAAGCAUAUGCCAUCC
rnacentral:lncRNA from 1 species